rnacentral:lncRNA from 1 species
AUUCUCACAAGUGCCUAACGAGGAAUCAGGCAAGUGAGCGUAUUAACUUAAAACCCAUAUAGCUGUAGGCCACCCUUCUGUCCUCUCCUGAAUAACUGACCUUGCAUCUCACCUGGCAGCGACGCUUUGCUGUCAUUUCUGUCCUACUGCAACGCCCCUGGCUCUGUGUGUGGUGUCAGGCCAGCGUGGACACUCAUUUUCCUUAUUGGUCCUGACCAGCAACACCUGGAGCCUCCAGCACCCACCUUACCUGCCGUGGGCCCAGGAGCUGCAUUUAAACUCAGCCCAAGGAUCUUGUUCCCUUUCCUAAGGAGGAUGGAAGUGGGGCUGGUCUCCAGUUCUGCUGCAGCCCUGUCCUGCCUGGUGGCUGUGGGCUUGGCUGGCUAGCUGAGCUCCUGGCUGCUGCCAUCUCAGCAUCUUCAGCUUAGUGCUUCACAGGCUGAACAGAAACAUCUAAGCAGAGGUGAAACCAGGCAGAAGUGGAGUUAAAGCAGCAUUGAAAAAAUCGCAGUUUGAUCAAAAAAAAAAAAAAAAAAAAAAAAAAAGGAGAUAUUUAUGAAUAGACUGGAUGUGCUCUAGUGGAGGAAGCAAGAAUUACAGGGAGGCAAUAAAUAUUUACCAGUAUCUUAAGUAAUACAGUUAAAUAACACUGAGAAAACAUCCUAAGAUACUGUUGUAAUUUAAAGCCAAUGCAAAGAAACUUGGUACACUUUGUGUAUUAAAAAAACCACAACCCUUAAUUGAGUAAGUGGCAGAGUAAUUCCAGGUACUCAGAGCACCUGCGUUGCCUACAUAGAUGCCUGGCACUUGUGAAACAGCUCUGAGGCUUAUGGCAUGCUGGACUCACCAAGGAGGCUGGGUUGGUACUGUCUGCAGUGACUCUUACACCAGGGAAUGAAGCUCCCUCCAUAAGGCACGUUUCAGCUUUCAAAAAUGUCAUGCAAGAGUUGUUCAGAUUUCCCAGACGUCCUCAACUCCACUUGCUACUCCCCCACCUCUUGCUGGCUGGGGUAACAGCUGGUGUUCACAGGAGCCCUGGUCCGUGGUGUCACUCCAAAUGCAUGGUGCUGCUGAGGCAAGGCCCAGCAUCCUGUGUUCCCGAUUGCCCAGUGAUAAGAGCUGCCAUAACGAAGGGAGCCUGUAGCAGGCUGCUCCCAGGUUCAGGAGGUGCCGAAGCUGUAAACAGCUUAGAGUGA